AUGGUCAUAUCACAUUAAAACAUCAGUUCUUAUUUGAUCACCAAAGUUAAGCAAAAUCAUGCCUGGUCAGUACCUAGAUGGGUAACCACUUGGUAAUACUAAGUGCUGUAAG